CUCUCCCUCCCCCGGCCCUCCUGCUGAUGAGAGACAGGAGCGAUGGAUGGUCUGAGUUAGCGGGGUCCCGGCACCACCCAGCGCAAAGGCACUGCACUCACGCACGCCAUGCACAUGCUGGCUCACCUCCUCCAUCCCAUGCCUCCCCUGUCUCCAGCAUUCCCUCUGGAAUACAUCAGCACUGUUGCCUUUGAGGCUGGCCUGCUUGAAUGCACACCUGAGCUCCGGAUUCACAGUGGAGGAAGCCAGAUGCCAUGUCAUGAGGGUGCUCAAGCAACUUUUUGGAGAUGUAUGUAUGGAGAGAAACUGAGGCCUCCUGCCAACAGCCAGCACUAACUUGGCAAGCAUGUUUGAGAGCCACCUGGGAAGUGGAGCCUUCAGCCCCAGUUAAGCCUUCAGAUGAGACUGCAGUCCUGGCCACCAUCUGGACUGCAACUUCACAAGAGCUCCUAAGCCAGAGCCAUGCAGAUGGAUUCUUGGCCCCCAGAAAUUGUGCCACUACAUUUUGGGAAAUUUAUUAUGCAGCCAUAGAUUACCAAUACACUCACUAUUUCUUUUUUCUGAUGCCAUACUAUAUUUUUGUUUGCUGAUUUUUUUCCUCCGUCUCUCCCACUAGGCAUUAAGUUCCAUAAGGGCAGUGACUGUGUCUGCGUGGUUCAUCCAUGUGUCCCCACAGCCUGGCAUAUGGAGCUCACUAAUAACUCAGGCAUGGGUAAAUGGAGAUCACUCAUUUUAGGCUCAGCCUAAUAAAUCUCCCUCCUAUGGCUCUCUCUAGAGAGAGCAGUAAAAUUUGCCCAACUUCUUUUUCUGUCUUUCUGUAUUUGAUUUCUUACACUUUCUGUGGCUUUCUGCUUAGUUUUAUUCCUGGCUGCCUGACAGAGGGUGGGUUUAUGCAGAUAAAGAGGCACCUGUGGGAGGAAGGGCUCUGUGUGCUUUCUCCUUUAAUAAGCUGUGUCUAAAAAAAAAAAAAAAAAAAAAAUAGCUCCCCUUUGCAAAAGGGACGAAAAUAGCCAGGAUUUUCCAGGAUUUUAAUGGAGAUGGGAGGCGGGUACUGGGAGGCUGAAGACUGAGGCAGCCCUCUUCUCUCUGAGCAGCCCCAGUCUGAUCACUGAGCAACCCCGGUCUGAUCACUUACCCACACACCCACACUUGAAUUAUACUCACUUAUUCAUUUAUCCAUCUUUCCACCAAGUCAAUUGUUAAUUAAUUCCCUAUUUAUUAUUUGCUUAUCUAUUUAUACAUUCAUUAUCUAUCCUAUAUUUUUUACUUAUGAAUUAAUCCAUUUAUCCAUCCAUGCACUCAGCUAUUCAUCCAUCCAUCCACUCUCCAUCUAUCCACCCAUCUAUACAUUUAUCCAUCACUGAUCCAUUCACCCACCAUCCACCCAUCUUUCCAUUCAUCCACCCAUUCUUUCAUGCAUCCAUCUAUCCAUCCACCAACCCAUCCAUCUACCCAUCUAUCCACAUAUCCAUCAUCCAUCCAUUCACCCAUUCAUCCACCAUCCAUUUGUCAUCCAUCUAUCUAUCCAUCCAUCCAUGCAUCCAUCCAUCCAUCCACUCAUCCAUUUAUCCACUCAUCUAUCCACUUAUCCAUCAUCCAUUCAUUCACCCAUUUAUCCACCUAUCCUUCCAUCCACCCAUCUAUCCACUUAUCCAUCAUCCAUUCACCCAUCCUGCAUUCAUCCAUUAUCCAUUGAUAUACUUUUCAUUUAAUCCGAACACCCUAAUGCCUUUAUGUUAAUUAAUGAAUUUAUUCACUUAACCAUGUGUCUAUUUAUUAAGUAUUUUAAUUUAUUAAUUUACUAAGCUUUCAGUUCUAUUCAGACCCCCGAGUAUUUACAAGUGCUACUACUUUGUGCCAAGUGCUAUGUUAGGCUCUGGAAUUAAGAGGUGAAGGAGACAGACCUGGUUCCUACCUGUGUGCGGUUCACCCCACUGAUUUCUGGAAUUCAGGUGAGGAGCUGUUCAUGGGAGAUCCUGAAGUCAGCACAAAAUUUCUGCUCUCUAGGGACUCAUGAUGUGACAGAGCUGGAUCGUGACACCUGGUGCUGGUUCUACCACUGGAAUCCUUAACUUCUGGAUGGGCCUCAGUUUUCUUUUCUGGGAAAUGGGGACAAUGUUGGGAAAAUCUUCUUCUUCUUCUUCUUUUUUUUUUUUUUUUUUUUAACAGAGUCUCACUCUAUCGCCAGGCUGGAGUGGUGCAGUGGCAAGAUCUCGGCUCACUACAGUCUCCACCUCCAGGGUUCAAGCCAUUCUCUUGCCUCAGCCUCCCAAGUAGCUGGGACUACAGUUACACACCACCACAUCCAGCUAAUUUUUGUAUUUUUAGUAGAGAUGGGGUUUCACCAUGUUGCCCAGGAUGGUCUCGAUCUCCUGACCUCAUGAUCUGCCCACCUUGGCCUCCCAAAGUGCUGGGAUUACAGGCGUGAGCCACCGCACCCAGCUGAUAAAACCAUCUUGAAUGACCUUCAUCACUGUGAACAGUGAUGCAGUGGCUUUAUAAACUCUAGAAUGUGCUACA
rnacentral:lncRNA from 1 species